AAGCAGUGAGAUUGAGUGUUAGGCAAAUCCGGCACUCUUAAGAUUGAGCUGUGAUGGGGAGAGGAAAUUGUUUCCUCGAGUCGUUGAUUUCACACUGCCGAGAAAAGCCUCUAGAUAGAUAAUAGGUGCCCGUACCGCAAACCGACACAGGUAGUCAAGAUGAGAAUUCUAAGGUGAGCGAGCGAACUCUCGUUAAGGAACUCGGCAAAAUGACCCCGUAACUUCGGGAGAAGGGGUGCUCUUUAGGGUGCAAGCCCAGAAGAGCCGCAGUGAAUAGGCCCAAGCGACUGUUUAUCAAAAACACAGGUCUCUGCUAAACCGUAAGGUGAUGUAUAGGGGCUGACGCCUGCCCGGUGCUGGAAGGUUAAGAGGAGUGGUUAGCUUCUGCGAAGCUACGAAUCGAAGCCCCAGUAAACGGCGGCCGUAACUAUAACGGUCCUAAGGUAGCGAAAUUCCUUGUCGGGUAAGUUCCGACCCGCACGAAAGGCGUAACGAUUUGGGCACUGUCUCAACGAGAGACUCGGUGAAAUCAUAGUACCUGUGAAGAUGCAGGUUACCCGCGACAGGACGGAAAGACCCCGUGGAGCUUUACUGUAGCCUGAUAUUGAAAUUCGGCACAGCUUGUACAGGAUAGGUAGGAGCCUUUGAAACGUGAGCGCUAGCUUACGUGGAGGCGCUGGUGGGAUACUACCCUAGCUGUGUUGGCUUUCUAACCCGCACCACUUAUCGUGGUGGGAGACAGUGUCAGGCGGGCAGUUUGACUGGGGCGGUCGCCUCCUAAAAGGUAACGGAGGCGCUCAAAGGUUCCCUCAGAAUGGUUGGAAAUCAUUCAUAGAGUGUAAAGGCAUAAGGGAGCUUGACUGCGAGACCUACAAGUCGAGCAGGGUCGAAAGACGGACUUAGUGAUCCGGUGGUUCCGCAUGGAAGGGCCAUCGCUCAACGGAUAAAAGCUACCCCGGGGAUAACAGGCUUAUCUCCCCCAAGAGUUCACAUCGACGGGGAGGUUUGGCACCUCGAUGUCGGCUCAUCGCAUCCUGGGGCUGUAGUCGGUCCCAAGGGUUGGGCUGUUCGCCCAUUAAAGCGGUACGCGAGCUGGGUUCAGAACGUCGUGAGACAGUUCGGUCCCUAUCCGUCGUGGGCGUAGGAAAUUUGAGAGGAGCUGUCCUUAGUACGAGAGGACCGGGAUGGACAUACCUCUGGUGUACCAGUUGUCGUGCCAACGGCAUAGCUGGGUAGCUAUGUAUGGACGGGAUAAGUGCUGAAAGCAUCUAAGCAUGAAGCCCCCCUCAAGAUGAGAUUUCCCAACUUCGGUUAUAAGAUCCCUCAAAGAUGAUGAGGUUAAUAGGUUCGAGGUGGAAGCGUGGUGACACGUGGAGCUGACGAAUACUAAUCGAUCGAAGACUUAAUCAA
rnacentral:rRNA from 1 species